GAAUCACCAUAUUUGACUUUCUAUCUUUUGUAUGAUGCUCGUAACGGCUAUAUUUUUCAUUCUCAUUUUUACAUUAAUGUAUACCAAACGGGACAAUAAUUCUAAAUUUAAAUUGUAUUUUAAAAAUUUGAAAUUAUAUUUAAAAAUUUGAAACGGGGCAGAAAAAGGAGAUUCUGUAAUAACCACCCCGUCCUCACCUCGCCUUCCGAAAAUCCUCAAUGGAAAGGGAUGGUAAUGGCCGAUCUAGCCCCCUUGCCAUCCUUAGAGCCAAAUCCAUUCUUUAUAUAACAAUUGGGAAAAACCGUAACUACCAUACUUUAAUAUUACGUAUUUAUAAAAUAUCAAAGUUUGAGAAACUUUUCAUAAUUUAAGAUUUUUUUAUCAAAAUAGAUAAUACUUGAUUUUAUAUAAAUAAGUCACCUCGGUUGUUGGUUACUAAUGGUUAUGACUUUUCUCUCUCUCAUCAUAUUUCUUCUCUAAAUAUUGGAAUGUGCUAUUUGCACAGGGUCCUGUGCACAGCCUGUGCACAGGAGCCUGUGCAAGAAGAAAUAUCCCUAAAUAUUUGCACGCAGUUAUUGAUAUGUGUGUGUGUGUGUGUGAUUUCUUGUGAAUGGCAUUAGAUUAAUAUUAAAAGUUAUAUUUGACCAUUGAUAUUUAAGCAUGUAAAGUUAAUAUGUGAAAGCGAUUCUACGCAAUGAGAUUAUUGUAUUGGUUAUAUAGUUCACAAAAUUUUUCAAUUGAGACCUACAUAACAUGCAAAAUUGUAACAUAUAUAUUAUGUAACUAUAUUUAUGUGACAUGUGA
rnacentral:sRNA from 1 species